rnacentral:rRNA from 1 species
AGUGAACGCUGGCGGUAGACCUAACACAUGCAAGUCGAACGGCAGCACAGUAAGAGCUUGCUCUUACGGGUGGCGAGUGGCGGACGGGUGAGGAAUACAUCGGAAUCUACUUUUUCGUGGGGGAUAACGUAGGGAAACUUACGCUAAUACCGCAUACGACCUACGGGUGAAAGCAGGGGAUCUUCGGACCUUGCGCGAUUGAAUGAGCCGAUGUCGGAUUAGCUAGUUGGCGGGGUAAAGGCCCACCAAGGCGACGAUCCGUAGCUGGUCUGAGAGGAUGAUCCGCCACACUGGAACUGAGACACGGUCCAGACUCCUACGGGAGGCAGCAGUGGGGAAUAUUGGGCAAUGGGCGCAAGCCUGAUCCAGCCAUACCGCGUGGGUGAAGAAGGCCUUCGGGUUGUAAAACCCUUUUGUUGGGAAAGAAAAGCAGCAGGUUAAUACCCCGCUGUUCUGACGGUACCCAAAGAAUAAGCACCGGCUAACUUCGUG